AGCUUGCUUCUCUGAUGUUAGCGGCGGACGGGUGAGUAACACGUGGAUAACCUACCUAUAAGACUGGGAUAACUUCGGGAAACCGGAGCUAAUACCGGAUAAUAUUUUGAACCGCAUGGUUCAAAAGUGAAAGACGGUCUUGCUGUCACUUAUAGAUGGAUCCGCGCUGCAUUAGCUAGUUGGUAAGGUAACGGCUUACCAAGGCAACGAUGCAUAGCCGACCUGAGAGGGUGAUCGGCCACACUGGAACUGAGACACGGUCCAGACUCCUACGGGAGGCAGCAGUAGGGAAUCUUCCGCAAUGGGCGAAAGCCUGACGGAGCAACGCCGCGUGAGUGAUGAAGGUCUUCGGAUCGUAAAACUCUGUUAUUAGGGAAGAACAUAUGUGUAAGUAACUGUGCACAUCUUGACGGUACCUAAUCAGAAAGCCACGGCUAACUACGUGCCAGCAGCCGCGGUAAUACGUAGGUGGCAAGCGUUAUCCGGAAUUAUUGGGCGUAAAGCGCGCGUAGGCGGUUUUUUAAGUCUGAUGUGAAAGCCCACGGCUCAACCGUGGAGGGUCAUUGGAAACUGGAAAACUUGAGUGCAGAAGAGGAAAGUGGAAUUCCAUGUGUAGCGGUGAAAUGCGCAGAGAUAUGGAGGAACACCAGUGGCGAAGGCGACUUUCUGGUCUGUAACUGACGCUGAUGUGCGAAAGCGUGGGGAUCAAACAGGAUUAGAUACCCUGGUAGUCCACGCCGUAAACGAUGAGUGCUAAGUGUUAGGGGGUUUCCGCCCCUUAGUGCUGCAGCUAA
rnacentral:rRNA from 1 species